rnacentral:rRNA from 1 species
UACGUAGGGUGCAGGCGUUAAUCGGAAUUACUGGGCGUAAAGCGUGCGCAGGCGGUCUUUUAAGUCAGAUGUGAAAUCCCCGGGCUCAACCUGGGAACUGCAUCUGUGACUGCAUAGCUAGAGUACGGUAGAGGGGGAUGGAAUUCCGCGUGUAGCAGUGAAAUGCGUAGAUAUGCGGAGGAACACCGAUGGCGAAGGCAAUCCCCUGGACCUGUACUGACGCUCAUGCACGAAAGCGUGGGGAGCAAACAGG